GCUUGUGAUUUUCCUGAGACUGUUGCCACAGACACCCAGUUUGUAAUACUGCAAAUGCAAGGGCUUUCAUCAUAGGCUCAAUCAUCAU